rnacentral:rRNA from 1 species
GAUGAACGCUGGCGGCGUGCAUAACACAUUCAAGUCGAACGGUGACGAGGACUUCGGGUCCUCUGAUCAGUGGCGGACGGGUGAGUAACGCGUGAGCAACCUGCCCUAUAUUGCGGGAUAACAACCGGAAACAGUUGCUAAUACCGCAUGACGUAUUCGGAUCGCAUGUUCUGAAUACCAAAGAAUUUUGAUAUAGGAUGGGCUCGCGUCCGAUUAGGCAGUUGGUGGGGUAACGGCCCACCAAACCGACGAUCGGUAGCCGAACUGAGAGGUUGAACGGCCACAUUGGAACUGAGAUACGGUCCAGACUCCUACGGGAGGCAGCAGUGGGGAAUAUUGGGCAAUGGGCGAAAGCCUGACCCAGCGACGCCGCGUGAGGGAAGAAGGUCUUCGGAUUGUAAACCUCUUUCAGCAGGGAAGAAGCAAGUGACGGUACCUGCAGAAGAAGUCACGGCUAACUACGUG